GAUGAACGCUGGCUGUGUGCCUAAUACAUGCAUGUCGAGCGAAGCACUUUUGUGCUUAGCGGCGAAUGGGUGAGUAACACGUACUUAACCUACCCUCAAGAUUGGGACAACACUUGGAAACGAGUGCUAAUACCAAAUACGUAUUUUUAUCGCAUGAUAGAUAUAUAAAAGGAGCUUCGGCUUCACUAGAGGAUGGGAGUGCGCUACAUUAGUUAGUUGGUAGGGUAAUGGCCUACCAAGACUAUGAUGUAUAGCGGGGCCGAGAGGCUGAUCCGCCACACUGGGACUGAGAUACGGCCCAGACUCCUACGGGAGGCAGCAGUAGGGAAUUUUCCACAAUGAACGAAAGUUUGAUGGAGCGACACAGCGUGCAGGAUGAAGGUCUUCGGAUUGUAAACUGCUGUUAUAAGAGAAGAAAAACCCUGGUAGGUAAUGACCAGGACUUGACGGUACCUUAUCAGAAAGCGACGGCUAACUAUGUGCCAGCAGCCGCGGUAAUACAUAGGUCGCAAGCGUUAUCCGGAAUUAUUGGGCGUAAAGAGUUCGUAGGUGGUUUUGUAAGUCUGAAGUUAAAUACCGGGGCUCAACCCCGGCCCGCUUUGGAUACUGCAAAACUAGAGUAAUAGAGAGGUUAGUGGAACUCCAAGUGAAGCGGUGGAAUGCGUAGAUAUUUGGAAGAACACCAAUGGCGAGGCAACUAACUGGAUAUUAACUGACACUGAGGAACGAAAGCGUGGGUAGCAAACAGG
rnacentral:rRNA from 1 species